GACGAACGCUGGCGGCGUGCUUAACACAUGCAAGUCGAACGGUAAGGCCCUUCGGGGUACACGAGUGGCGAACGGGUGAGUAACACGUGGGUGAUCUGCCCUGCACUUCGGGAUAAGCCUGGGAAACUGGGUCUAAUACCGGAUAGGACCACUGCCUGCAUGGGUGGUGGUGGAAAGCUUUUGCGGUGUGGGAUGGGCCCGCGGUCUAUCAGCUUGUUGGUGGGGUGAUGGCCUACCAAGGCGACGACGGGUAGCCGGCCUGAGAGGGUGACCGGCCACACUGGGACUGAGAUACGGCCCAGACUCCUACGGGAGGCAGCAGUGGGGAAUAUUGCACGAUGGGCGCAAGGCUGAUGCAGCGACGCCGCGUGAGGGAUGACGGCCUUCGGGUUGUAAACCUCUUCCAGCACCGACGAAGCGCAAGUGACGGUAGGUGCAGAAGAAGGACCGGCCAACUACGUACCAGCAGCCGCCGUAA
rnacentral:rRNA from 1 species